AGGGGGUCCCGCUACCCGUGAACCCUUAACACUCGUAAUCAGAUUCCAGGGCCGUCCCCAUACCCCGUCCGGUAUGGGCGCCAAAACUAUAAACCUCAAUACCCCGUCUGGUAUGAGGAUGAAACGGGCCUUCCCCAUACCCCGUCCGGUAUGAGAGACCACAAUCCCGGUAGGGUUCCCUACGGACCCGGUCCGUCCACCAUCUCCCAGGAUAUCUAGUCAGGUUGACCACAUUAUACAAUUAUCAAUUU
rnacentral:lncRNA from 1 species